AAUAACUCUAUCUGGUUAUUCAAAUGAGCAAAUUGACAGCAUACAAGCUUUAAGUUGUUAAUUUUUAAGAAGUAAGUGUUGUGUAAUUUUAUUUUCUAAUUUUGGUUUUUUUUUCAAUGAAAUGUUUUUCAAAACAUUUAAACAAAUCACUUAAUAGCUGACCUGUUAUCGACUGCUGCUGUACUUAGACAUUCCUAAAUCAAAAUUUAUUUUAAACCAAAUUUGAACAAAAACUUUCAUAUUAUCAAAAGAAUGUCCAAGGAUUUUAAUUAAGGAAAUCAUUUGAACUGUGAUACAGUCUAGUGUUUAUUUUAUGUUAUGGCAGGUACACUUGAAUUUCAAAAAUUUAAAACAUAUAUAAAAAGUGGUUAGGGACUAACAUUUGUAUCAACAGUUGAUAAAUGUCUAAGAUUGUUUAUUAUACAGCAGGGUACAAUGGUAGUGCUAAUGCCAACAGGGCACCAUGGAAGUUAGUCUAAAAAUUAUCGCUAGGCUUUAUACAAGCAACAACAUAUGCUGCUGUUUUUAGAAUUUCGGGAAAUGAUCUGCUUCUAAUUCUAAGCAGUCCUUUAACAUUUUUAAAUGUUAUACAGUGUUAUAGUAUUUAGUUUGGCAAAUGUUUCAAAAUAAAGUAGAAAUGUAUUCAUAACAUCACAGAAAUGCACAUCCAAUUUUGUUUUCAAUAAGAACCAUAGGUACAGAUCAGAACUCUUCCCUAUAUGAAAUAAUUUAUACACAGAUGAAUGCUAUAAUAUCACUAUCUAAAAUAAUCACUAAAUACAAUUUUUUCAGAAAUAAACAAGCAAAGAUUUUUUUUCAUUAUCAAAUAUCAAAAACAUGUAGAUAAUGUAUGUUUUUCAAAUAAAUGAUACUCUAAAAUUAUAGGAAUAAUCUCAGUGAAUUCAGUGAAUGUGCAACCUAAAUCAACCAAGUAUAUACUGUAGUACAACCAUAUU